GCUGUGGCUCAGUGGCAGAGGACAUGCUCUGCAUGCAUAUGGCCCCAAGGUCCAAUCCCUGGCAUCUGCA